rnacentral:lncRNA from 1 species
UUAUCCUCCUUCAAAUAAAAAAAAAAGAGGAAAAAAGAAGAAAAAUGUAUUUUUAAUAAAUCUCCCAAAAUAAUUUUCAGACAUUGUUGGCAGUCUUUCUGUCUUUUUCCCUUUCUCCAUUCAGAACUUAUUUUUUUUUUUUUUUUUUUUUUUUUUAAUACUGACUAACGAUGAAACAUACUGGUUGAAGAAUUGGAACAGUUGGGAGAAAUGAGGGCUCACAAACAAGACAGAGUAGCUUUUUAUGUUAUUAAAACUGUUUUCCCCUUAAGGAACAGAUUGUUAUGUAAUAGAAGAAGGAAGACAUCAUGAUGACCUAUCAAACUGUUGUCUUGUGCGCCUCUCCUGACACUUGCAGUAACAUGGCUCAAAGCGAUAGUUACUACAAAUGCAAGGAAGGGCGAGGAGGGAGGAAAAUUCACUCCAGUUGCUUCCCUGAGAGAGUGUCAGGGCAGCCCUGACAAGUCAUCCCUCCAGUGGCAGGGCACAUUGAGCCUUUGAUUGCUUCCAGCUGCAUGCAGUAUCCUUUGUUGUGGUUUUCAUGUAGAUUUUCUCUUAAUUUUCAUGGGUGUGGUGCAUAAAAAUUUGUGCUUACUGG